rnacentral:hammerhead_ribozyme from 1 species
AUCUAGUUGACGAGUCCCAAAUAGGAUGAGAUUUACGUCCUGGAU